CACUUGGUCCCUCCCGGAACGUUCUUUACCCUGUUCGUACGCCGGGGACUUCUUUCGGCCGAACACGGGAGCAGACACAAGAUCGGACCGGUAGAGCCCAGCGCCGGUCACCCGAUACCUGUAUUGUGACAUGUUCAAUACAUAUGCCAUGUAACCAAUCUACCCUUACUACUCAAGAUGCAAAUAUCCUGUACAACGCUCUGUGAAUAAUAAAGUGCAAAAUGUCGCUGUU